rnacentral:rRNA from 1 species
UACGUAGGGUGCAAGCGUUAAUCGGAAUUACUGGGCGUAAAGCGUGCGCAGGCGGUUGUGCAAGACAGAUGUGAAAUCCCCGGGCUUAACCUGGGAACUGCAUUUGAAACUGCAGGGCUCGAGUCAGCUAGAGGUGCACGGAACUUCCAGUGGAGCGGUGAAAUGUGUUGAUAUUGGAAGGAACACCGGAGGCGAAAGCGGUGCACUGGGGCUGGUCUGACGCUGAGGCACGAAAGCCAGGGGAGCAAACGGG